GUCUGUAUGAAGUUAUAUAGAGUCUAACCUGCCCAUUGAAAUUUAAAAGGCCGCGGUAUCCUAACUGUGCAAAGGUAGCAUAAUAAUUAGCUUUUUAAUUGAGAGCUUGUAUGAAAGGUUGGACAAAGAAAAAUCUGUCUUUAAUAUUUAUUUUGAAUUUUACAUUUAAGUGAAAAGGCUUAAAUGAAUUUAAGGGACGAUAAGACCCUAUAAAUCUUUACAUUUAUUUAUUUUUUAUUAGUUUAGAUUAUCAAUUAAUUAAAAUAUAAAUAUAUGUUUUAUUGGGGUGAUAAAGAUAUAAUUUAAAUAACUGUUUUUAAAAAUAAACAAAUAUAAUUGAUAAGUAUAAGAUCCUUUUUAAAGAUUAAAAGUUAAAGUUACUUUAGGGAUAACAGCGUAAUUUUUUUUGAGAGUUCAUAUCGAAAAAAAAGUUUGCGACCUCGAUGUUGAAUUAAAAAUUCUUUAUAAUGCAGAAGUUAUAAGGGAAAGUCUGUUCGACUUUUAAAUUUUU
rnacentral:rRNA from 1 species